UUUAGUUCAAGUUCCGAGGCUUGCUUUGAUAGAACCAGUGACGUUGCAGAUCUACUUUUGAACCUCUUUCUACAGGCAACUUUUUCUUCAUUAUUCUCAUUAAGGGCUAUCGCCAUGCGUCAGACAGGCAGGCAGAUGGGGGAGAUAACUAGUAUAAGACAGGGCUCAAUUCGGUUUUCAAUUCAUGAAGUGAGUGGAAAUUCAAUGAGUGAAUUCCAAAAUCCUAGAAAGCGAUGGGCAGUAGAGGACAAGGGUACACUGUUGCAUUCUGUCCUCAAGGGCUGCAGUCUUGCUGGGGGUUUUUCUGUUGCCUUCUAACCAAAAAUGGAUUUCUACCUGUGAAAUCAGGUGUUUGCAAUCCCCAGCCGAUUGGUAACAUUCAUUGAUCAAGUAAAUGCCGGGGAGAAAUGAAAACCAGCAGGAAUGCGGACUUCGAAGCACUGGGUUGUGCACCCCUGGUUUUAGGUUCACAGUCAACUAAGCCAUUCACUCAUGAGUGUUUGUCGGGAUCAUUUUGUUCAACAAAGACCGUGUGUGAAUACAGCUGUGGUAGGAUACAUGACCAACACUAUCAUUAGAAGGUUCAUUUUUUUACUUUUUCUUUCUCUGGAUCAACAGUGGAUCACACAAGCUUCCAGCUCCGAAUGAGGGAAUCUCUCAAGCCCCAAGUUCCCUACUUCACUGUUUGAUGUGUUAUCAUCAGGGGUGUGAUCGUGGAUCAGUUUACCCUCCCUCAAUGCUGACCUUAAAGGCCCAGUGCAGUCAAAUGUGAUUUUCCUGUGUUUUGUAUAGAUUUCCACACUUGAGGUUGGAAUAAUACUGUGAAAUUGUGAAAAUGGUGAUAAUGCUAUUUUAGUGUAAGAGCUGUUUGAAAAGACCGCCUGAAAUUUCUGCCUGUUUUGGUGGGAUGUAGUUUUGGUUUGUUUGUUUGAUAUCACCAUGCGGUAAGUUAGUUAAUAAACCAAUAAAAAAAGUUUCAAACCUCUCUGCCAAUAACAGCUAGUUUUCAGUUUUCCCCUCGCCACUCACCACUUCGACAGUCCUAGCAAAAUUCAUGCUUGAUAAAUUACUCUUACAAAGAAGCUAUUUUUGUUUGUUUUCACUCAAAAUGGUCAAAAAUAAUCAAAGGUACUUAAUUGUUACCCAGAAAUUACUUGAUUUUGAGGUAAAAAUGUCUGCAUUGGGCCUUUAUCUAUUAGGGGGGAUGCAAAACUGACCUUAGAUCAGUGUUAAGGGGAACUUUCCUUCUACUGUCCUACUGCUAGUUUUACCAUCCGGGGGUGUGCUUUGUGCUUGUUGAGGAGAUUUUGCACAUUGUCAUUUGACACUCCUACAGUAGAGGCAGGGUGUUAAAGCAGGUGUUAAAAUGCUAUUCCAAGUUAAAGCAUAGCUGCGCAACACACAGCUCUAGCACACCUGUGCAGGAUUUUGUUCCAUACCAGCACUAACACCCCAGUCAACUGAUUGAGAACUAAUCAUGGUUUUGGAUUUAGACCGCAACUAGUUGAACCAAGUGUGUUAGUGUUGUACUGGAACUAAAGCCUGCACACUGCAGCCAGUAUUAGAGGAUGUUAUCCAAGUAUGACAUGCAGUAUUUAAUUCAGUGUUGACCUGCCCACAAACAAUGUGUUGAAUACAACUCGCAUACCAAACAGUCAAGCACUUGGGCUCCUGUACUGCCUCCACAAUGAAGUGUGAAAACAGCCCUAACUACAAUCAAUAGACUUGGUGAUUAAUCAGUCAUAUUUAUAGGAAACUCUUGUUUACCACUUUCUGUGGGUUAAUUGUUUGGCACUCCUGAAGUGUCUGCACAUUAGGGCCCAGAGUUUUUCCUAGGCUGUAACUAGGACCCAGAGUUUUACCUGGUCAGAUUAACAUGGACAUGGUGCAUAUUGAGAACUUAGCUUGACUUAUUUCCUUUUAAAUCUUUUUUGUAAGAUUAAAAAAACAUUACCGGAACACUAUUGUAUUUAGGACCACUUGAUUUAUUUUUUAAUCUAAGGAAACCUGAGGGUUAAAUGUUUUAGUUGGUGUAUAAAAUAUACAAUGCUGUUUUUGUUUCUUUAUUUUGUAUGUAAACCAAAUGUAAAUUAUGUACUAUACUGUGUGCCAACCCAACUCUCUCUAGAGCCAGGCUCUCUCUCUCUCUUAAGUGCCAACGCUGACAUCAUCAUCAGGGAACAGCCAUCUUGGAUGGUCCCAUUUUUAAGAACACCAGAGACCUAAACACAUGGCGACUACGCCACCCCUAACAAAAACUAUAAGUACACAUUUUUUUAAAUUGUGUAAUUAUAUAAUUGCAUGUAUUUAGUGUUGGGAGGAGGUGAGGGCUCGGGAAAAUGUAUUGGCUGAUGCAGAGACCUUGAUGAAAGGGUGAAAUCGGUUGGUUAUUAUUGAUUGAUCAGUUGGUUAUGUAUUAUUGAUUUGCAUUACUCUUGCCAUAUUUUUAUUUUUAGUGUGUUUUCAUGCAUUUGUUUCAACCACUGUUGCCUGAUCCUCAUUCAAACAUGAACAUGAUUUAUUACGAUCAUCGCCGCCUUCUAAGAGAGAACAUAAUGACAAGGUAUCUGUUUUAAAUUGAAAUAAAUUUGUUCGUAUACUUGCUGA
rnacentral:lncRNA from 1 species